rnacentral:tRNA from 1 species
UCCCUGAUGGUUUAGUGGUUAAGACUCCUUGUUUCCAAUGCAGGGGUUGCGGGUUCAAUUCCUGGUCAGGGAA